rnacentral:rRNA from 1 species
CUACGGGAGGCUGCAGUGAGGAAUUUUGCGCAAUGGGGGAAACCCUGACGCAGCAACGCCGCGUGAGCGAAGAAGGCCUUCGGGUCGUAAAGCUCUGUCAAGUGGGAAAAAAAUUCUUUGACGAACAGUCAAAGGACUUGAUGGUACCACUGGAGGAAGCACCGGCUAACUCCGUGCCAGCAGCCGCGGUAAUACGGAGGGUGCAAGCGUUGUUCGGAAUUACUGGGCGUAAAGAGCGUGUAGGCGGUUUGACAAGUCAGAUGUGAAAGCCCCGGGCUCAACCCGGGAAGUGCAUUUGAAACUGUUUCACUAGAGUAUGGGAGAGGAGAUUGGAAUUCCUGGUGUAGAGGUGAAAUUCGUAGAUAUCAGGAGGAACACCCGUGGCGAAGGCGAUUCUCUGGACCAAUACUGACGCUGAGACGCGAAAGCGUGGGGAGCAAACAGGAUUAGAUACCCCUGUAGUC